ACUCCUACGGGAGGCAGCAGUGGGGAAUAUUGCACAAAUGGGCGCAAGCCUGAUGCAGCCAUGCCGCGUGUAUGAAGAAGGCCUUCGGGUUGUAAAGUACUUUCAGCAGUGAGGAAGGUGGGUAUGUUAAUAGCAUAUUCAUUUGACGUUAGCUGCAGAAGAAGCACCGGCUAACUCCGUGCCAGCAGCCGCGGUAAUACGGAGGGUGCGAGCGUUAAUCGGAAUUACUGGGCUAAAGCGCAUGCAGGUGGUUUAGUUAAGUCAGAUGUGAAAGCCCGGGGCUCAACCUCGGAAUUGCAUUUGAAACUGGCAAACUAGAGUACUGUAGAGGGGGGUAGAAUUUCAGGUGUAGCGGUGAAAUGCGUAGAGAUCUGAAGGAUACCGGUGGCGAAGGCGGCCCCCUGGACAGAUACUAGACACGUCACGAUGCGAAAGCGUGGGGGACGCAAACGAGGAUUAGACUACCCGUGGUAGGCUCUGC
rnacentral:rRNA from 1 species